GCGAAUGUAGCUCAAUUUGGUAGAGCAUCUGCUUGCCAUGCAGAAGGUUGUGAGUUCGAUUCUCACCAUUCGCU
rnacentral:tRNA from 1 species